UUGCACGCUGGCGGCAGGCCUCACCCAUGCAAGUCGAGCGGAUGAAGGGAGCUUGCUCCUGGAUUCAGCGGCGGACGGGUGAGUAAUGCCUAGGAAUCUGCCUGGUAGUGGGGGAUAACGUCCGGAAACGGGCGCUAAUACCGCAUACGUCCUGAGGGAGAAAGUGGGGGAUCUUCGGACCUCACGCUAUCAGAUGAGCCUAGGUCGGAUUAGCUAGUUGGUGGGGUAAAGGCCUACCAAGGCGACGAUCCGUAACUGGUCUGAGAGGAUGAUCAGUCACACUGGAACUGAGACACGGUCCAGACUCCUACGGGAGGCAGCAGUGGGGAAUAUUGGACAAUGGGCGAAAGCCUGAUCCAGCCAUGCCGCGUGUGUGAAGAAGGUCUUCGGAUUGUAAAGCACUUUAAGUUGGGAGGAAGGGCAGUAAGUUAAUACCUUGCUGUUUUGACGUUACCAACAGAAUAAGCGCCGGCUAACUUCGUG
rnacentral:rRNA from 1 species